rnacentral:rRNA from 1 species
AACGAACGCUGGCGGCAUGCCUAACACAUGCAAGUCGAACGUGAUCCGGGGCUUCGGUUCCGGUGAAAGUGGCGGACGGGUGAGUAACGCGUGGGAACCUGCCCAGUGGUAGGGGAUAACCGCGGGAAACUGCGGCUAAUACCCUAUGUGCCCUGCGGGGCAAAGAUUCAUCGCCAUUGGAGGGGCCCGCGUCGGAUUAGGUAGUUGGUGGGGUAACGGCCUACCAAGCCAUCGAUCCGUAGCUGGUCUGAGAGGAUGAUCAGCCACACUGGGACUGAGGCACGGCCCAGACUCCUACAGGAGGCAGCAGUGGGGAGUAUUGGACAAUGGGGGCAACCCUGAUCCAGCAAUGCCGCGUGAGUGAUGAAGGCCUUAGGGUUGUAAAGCUCUUUCGGCGGGGAAGAUGAUGACGGUACCCGCAGAAGAAGCCCCGGCUAACUUCGUGCCAGCAGCCGCGGUAAUAC